rnacentral:rRNA from 1 species
GAGGGUGAGAAUCCCGUCUUGGGCAGGGUGCCCGUGCCCGUGUGAAGCUCCUUCGACGAGUCGAGUUGUUUGGGAAUGCAGCUCUAAAUGGGUGGUAAAUUUCAUCUAAAGCUAAAUACCGGCCGGAGACCGAUAGCGCACAAGUAGAGUGAUCGAAAGAUGAAAAGCACUUUGAAAAGAGAGUUAAACAGCACGUGAAAUUGUUGAAAGGGAAGCGCUUGCGACCAGACUCGGCCCCGGGGUUCAGCCAGCACUCGUGCUGGUGUACUUCCCCGGGGGCGGGCCAGCGUCGGUUUGGGCGGCCGGUCAAAGGCCCCAGGAAUGUGUCGCCCUCCGGGGCGUCUUAUAGCCUGGGGUGCAAUGCGGCCAGCCCGGACCGAGGAACGCGCUUCGGCACGGACGCUGGCGUAAUGGUCGCAAACGACCCGUCUUGAAACACGGACCAAGGAGUCUAACAUCUACGCGAGUGUUCGGGUGUCAAACCCGUACGCGCAGUGAAAGCGAACGGAGGUGGGAGCCCCGCAAGGGGCGCACCAUCGACCGAUCCUGAUGUCUUCGGAUGGAUUUGAGUAAGAGCGUAGCUGUGGGGACCCGAAAGAUGGUGAACUAUGCCUGAAUAGGGCGAAGCCAGAGGAAACUCUGGUGGAGGCUCGCAGCGGUUCUGACGUGCAAAUCGAUCGUCAAAUUUGGGUAUAGGGGCGAAAGACUAAUCGAACCAUCUGGUAGCUGGUUCCUGCCGAAGUUUCCCUCAGGAUAGCAGUAACGCGGAUCAGUUUUAUGAGGUAAAGCGAAUGAUUAGAGGCAUUGGGGUUGAAACAACCUUAACCUAUUCUCAAACUUUAAAUAUGUAAGAAGCCCUUGUUUCUUAGUUGAACGUGGGCAUUAGAAUGGAGCGUUACUAGUGGGCCAUUUUUGGUAAGCAGAACUGGCGAUGCGGGAUGAACCGAACGCGAGGUUAAGGUGCCGGAAUGCACGCUCAUCAGACACCACAAAAGGUGUUGGUUCAUCUAGACAGCCCGACGGUGGCCAUGGAAGUCGGAAUCCGCUAAGGAGUGUGUAACAACUCACGGGCCGAAUGAACUAGCCCUGAAAAUGGAUGGCGCUCAAGCGUGCUACCCAUACCUCGCCGUCGGGGUAGAAACGAUGCCCCGACGAGUAGGCAGGCGUGGGGGUCCGUGACGAAGC